UGUACUAUUAAAUUAUUAAAAUAUUAUAUCAUUAGAUUUCAAUGUGGGACGUGUCAUUGGUGUGUGGUUUAGAUAAAAUAUAAGUGCACAGUUUGUUGAAUUGGAAGUUGAAUUGUGUUUUUAUUUAUUUUUAUUAUUUAUAAUGUUGUAACAAUUAGUGGAUGUACAAGGUAAAAGUGGAUUGACUGAAAGUUGUAACAUAUAUGGGUGUGGUAUGGUGUGGUUGGAUGUAGGUGGGUAGUGUAGAAUCACUUUAGGUUAUUUUAUUAUUUAUAUAUAUAGUUCAUUAUAUGGGUAUUAGAAACAUAGCAAACGAAAAAAAAAAAAAAAGACACAAAACAGAGGGCGGCGAAGAGAGAGGAAGAAAUAGAGAGAAGGGAAAUCAGAGAGAUCCUCGACAGUUCCAGACGUAAAGUCAGUUCGUGCAGAGAAGAGGCCAGACUUUAUCACUCUUCUGGUGUCAUAGACGUAGGACCUCCACUAUAUUUUCGCUAUCAUUUAUUAUUUCUGAGUUAGACAUUUUUUUGUUUCGUCUUUAGUUGGGAUUUUUAUUAGGGGUCCACAUUGUAUGAAUUCCCAAGUUGUACUCUGGAGGUUUUAUUCUUAUAAUGAGAAUUUAUUGGAGAUUAAUGUAUUAAAGGAUUUAUUAUUUAAUUAUUAAUUUAUAUUUCCCUUUCAGCGUUA